rnacentral:tRNA from 1 species
GUUCUUAUAGUGUAGUGAGCACGUGAGAUUUUCAAUCUUUUAGGGCACUAGCUGAGGUUGUGUUAAGAAU